rnacentral:rRNA from 1 species
UGAGCUGGGGGUGGCCGCAGAGACCAGCGAGAAGCGACUGUUUACUAAAAACACAGGUCCGUGCGAAGCCGUAAGGCGAUGUAUACGGACUGACGCCUGCCCGGUGCUGGAACGUUAAGGGGACCGGUUAGCUUGGAUUCGUCCAGGCGAAGCUGAGAACUUAAGCGCCAGUAAACGGCGGUGGUAACUAUAACCAUCCUAAGGUAGCGAAAUUCCUUGUCGGGUAAGUUCCGACCUGCACGAAUGGCGUAACGACUUCUCGACUGUCUCAACCAUAGGCCCGGUGAAAUUGCACUACGAGUAAAGAUGCUCGUUUCGCGCAGCAGGACGGAAAGACCCCGGGACCUUUACUACAGUUUGAUAUUGGUGUUCGGUUCGGCUUGUGUAGGAUAGCUGGGAGACUUUGAGCAUCGGACGCCAGUUCGGUGGGAGUCGUCGUUGAAAUACCAGUCUGGUCGUGCUGGAUGUCUAACCUGGGUCCGUGAUCCGGAUCAGGGACAGUGUCUGAUGGGUAGUUUAACUGGGGCGGUUGCCUCCUAAAGGGUAACGGAGGCGCCCAAAGGUUCCCUCAGCCUGGUUGGUAAUCAGGUGUUGAGUGUAAGUGCACAAGGGAGCUUGACUGUGAGACCGACGGGUCGAGCAGGGACGAAAGUCGGGACUAGUGAUCCGGCGGUGGCUUGUGGAAGCGCCGUCGCUCAACGGAUAAAAGGUACCCCGGGGAUAACAGGCUGAUCUUCCCCAAGAGUCCAUAUCGACGGGAUGGUUUGGCACCUCGAUGUCGGCUCGUCGCAUCCUGGGGCUGGAGUCGGUCCCAAGGGUUGGGCUGUUCGCCCAUUAAAGCGGUACGCGAGCUGGGUUUAGAACGUCGUGAGACAGUUCGGUCCCUAUCCGCUGUGCGCGUAGGAGUCUUGAGAAGGGCUGUCCCUAGUACGAGAGGACCGGGACGGACGAACCUCUGGUGUGCCAGUUGUUCUGCCAAGGGCAUGGCUGGUUGGCUACGUUCGGGAGGGAUAACCGCUGAAAGCAUCUAAGCGGGAAGCCUGCUUCGAGAUGAGGACUCCCACC